GCGAGCGGCGGAUGGGUGAGUAACACGUGGGGAACCUGCCCCUAAGUCUGGGAUACCAUUUGGAAACAGGUGCUAAUACCGGAUAAUAAAGCAGAUCGCAUGAUCAGCUUUUGAAAGGCGGCGUAAGCUGUCGCUAAGGGAUGGCCCCGCGGUGCAUUAGCUAGUUGGUAAGGUAACGGCUUACCAAGGCGACGAUGCAUAGCCGAGUUGAGAGACUGAUCGGCCACAUUGGGACUGAGACACGGCCCAAACUCCUACGGGAGGCAGCAGUAGGGAAUCUUCCACAAUGGACGCAAGUCUGAUGGAGCAACGCCGCGUGAGUGAAGAAGGUUUUCGGAUCGUAAAGCUCUGUUGUUGGUGAAGAAGGAUAGAGGUAGUAACUGGCCUUUAUUUGACGGUAAUCAACCAGAAAGUCACGGCUAACUACGUGCCAGCAGCCGCGGUAAUACGUAGGUGGCAAGCGUUGUCCGGAUUUAUUGGGCGUAAAGCGAGCGCAGGCGGAAAAAUAAGUCUAAUGUGAAAGCCCUCGGCUUAACCGAGGAACUGCAUCGGAAACUGUUUUUCUUGAGUGCAGAAGAGGAGAGUGGAACUCCAUGUGUAGCGGUGGAAUGCGUAGAUAUAUGGAAGAACACCAGUGGCGAAGGCGGCUCUCUGGUCUGCAACUGACGCUGAGGCUCGAAAGCAUGGGUAGCGAACAGGAUUAGAUACCCUGGUAGUCCAUGCCGUAAACGAUGAGUGCUAAAGUGUUGGGAGGUUUCCCCCUCUCAGUGCUGCAG
rnacentral:rRNA from 1 species